CCCGGUGUAGAGGUGAAAUUCGUAGAUAUCGGGAGGAAUACCUGAGGCGAAGGCGACUUUCUGGACCAAUACUGACGCUGAGGUGCGAAAGCGUGGGUAGCGAACAGGAUUAGAUACCCUGGUAGUCCACAGCCGUAAACGAUGUGCACUAGAUGUUGGGGGAGUUGACCCCUUCAGUGUCGCAGCUAACGCGAUAAGUGCACCGCCUGGGGAGUACGGCCGCAAGGUUAAAACUCAAAGGAAUUGACGGGGGCACGCACAAGCGGUGGAGUAUGUGGUUUAAUUCGAUGCAACGCGAAGAACCUUACCUGGUCUUGACAUCCCGGGAAUUUUCUGGAAACAGAGAAGUGCUUCUUUAUAGAAGAGCCUGGAGACAGGUGCUGCAUGGCUGUCGUCAGCUCGUGUCGUGAGAUGUUGGGUUAAGUCCCGUAACGAGCGCAACCCACGCCUUUAGUUGCCAUCAUUCAGUUGGGCACUCUAGAGGGACAGCCCCGGUUAACGGGGAGGAAGGUGUGGAUGACGUCAAGUCCUCAUGGCCCUUAUGGCCAGGGCUACACACGUACUACAAUGGACGGUACAAAGGGCAGCUACAUCGCGAGGUGGAGCUAAUCCUCCAAAGCCGUUCUCAGUCCGGAUCGGAGUCUGCAACUCGACUCCGUGAAGUUGGAAUCGCGUAGUAAUCGUGGAUCAGCAAGCCGCGG
rnacentral:rRNA from 1 species